rnacentral:rRNA from 1 species
UACGUAGGGGGCAAGCGUUGUCCGGAUUUAUUGGGCGUAAAGAGCGUGUAGGCGGUUAGGUAGGUCCGUUGUGAAAACUCGAGGCUCAACCUCGAGACGCCGAUGGAAACCAUCUAACUAGAGUCCGGAAGAGGAGAGUGGAAUUCCUGGUGUAGCGGUGAAAUGCGCAGAUAUCAGGAAGAACACCCGUGGCUAAGGCGGCUCUCUAGUACGGUACUGACGCUGAGACGCGAAAGCGUGGGGAGCGAACGGG